rnacentral:rRNA from 1 species
GACGAACGCUGGCGGCGUGCUUAACACAUGCAAGUCGAACGGAAAGGCCCUGCUUGCAGGGUACUCGAGUGGCGAACGGGUGAGUAACACGUGGGUGAUCUGCCCUGCACUUCGGGAUAAGCCUGGGAAGCUGGGUCUAAUACCGGAUAGGAGCCAUUUUUAGUGUGAUGGUUGGAAAGUUUUUUCGGUGUAGGAUGAGCUCGCGGCCUAUCAGCUUGUUGGUGGGGUAAUGGCCUACCAAGGCGGCGACGGGUAGCCGGCCUGAGAGGGUGGACGGCCACAUUGGGACUGAGAUACGGCCCAGACUCCUACGGGAGGCAGCAGGGGGGAAUAUUGCACAAUGGGCGCAAGCCUGAUGCAGCGACGCCGCGUGGGGGAUGACGGCCUUCGGGUUGUAAACUCCUUUCGCUAGGGACGAAGCUUUUUGUGACGGUACCUAGAGAAGAAGCACCGGCUAACUACGUG